UACGGGGGGGGCAAGCGUUGUUCGGAAUUACUGGGCGUAAAGGGCCAGUAGGCGGCCAACUAAGUCGGAUGUGAAAUCCCCAGGCUUAACCUGGGAACUGCAUCCGAUACUGGAUGGCUUGAAUUCGGGAGAGGGAUGCAGAAUUCCAGGUGUAGCGGUGAAAUGCGUAGAUAUCUGGAGGAAUACCGGUGGCGAAGGCGGCUCUCUGGACCGAUACUGACGCUGAGGCGCGAAAGCGUGGGGAGCAAACAGG
rnacentral:rRNA from 1 species